rnacentral:rRNA from 1 species
AGUUGCAAUACAGCAAUGUGGAGCGAAUCUCAAAAAGAUAGUCUCAGUUCGGACUGUGGGCUGCAACCCGCCCACACGAAGUCGGAGUUGCUAGUAAUCCCGAAUCAGCAUGUCGGGGUGAAUGCGUUCCCGGGUCUUGUACACACCGCCCGUCACGCCAUGGGAGUCGGAAGUGCCCAAAGUCGGUGACCUAACCGCAAGGAAGGAGCCGCCUAAGGUAAUGCCGAUGACUGGGGUGAAGUCGUAACAAGGUAAC